GGGGAAGAGAGGGGAAGGGGAGGGGGAGGGAGAGGGGGUGGGGAGCCGAGAGCAGAGGAGAAGGCAGAAGAGAGCGGAGCCGGCCGCGGAGCACCCACACUGGCGGCUGCCGGAGCGCGGGGCCUCAUGGUUGAUAUAGAAGACUGUCAAAUGGACCAGACAGAGAACUAAAACCGAAGAAAGGAUCUCAAUGAAGGCAUGCCACAGGGAUGCGAACUGAAAGUUUCAGAAACGGGACAAGAGCCAAAGUGCACAGGGACAGGUAGCCGUGGGGGAAAUACUGAAUUCCCUGUGGUGGUUAUUGGCACAGGAAACCCGUGAAGCACGUGGCCCCACGGCACCUUUCCAGACCUCUCCGUCCUUGGGUUCCCCCGGCACUUCCCACCUGGACCACAGCCAGAACCAGCUUCGGAUCGCAGGUUGGGUUAGCGUCGGCUGCUGCGUGUGAACCCGGAAGGGCUCCGUCUCGUGUGCUCACAGCACCGACCGUGAGUGUAGCCUCCCAGGCCUGGUCCAGCCCCGGCUUUAGACCCAGAAAGAAUUGAAAUUCACAGGAGACACUGACUCUCGGAUUCUUCCUUGGAUAUAACCAAGAGGUCCCCGGAUCUAAGAGGUGUCCCCAUCCCCGAGCCUCUCCUCUGAAAUACGCUUCGGUAUGUCCACGUCCCUUCUCGGUGACAUAGAUCCCAGGUAGCCGCUUCACGACUGAGGACAGAUGGCUGCAUCAGUGAUGUGCGGCGCACACCACACCGUUGCCUUGUGUCAAGCUUGGGGCUGAUCUCGGUCAAGCCUUUUCCACCAAGCCGCGUCUCCGCUGUGUGGUGCUGCUGCGCAUGGUUCUGUGGCGUUUCUUCCUGCUCAAGUUCACGGUGUUAGAAUUCGGCCCAUUGUCAAGCACUUUGUCAUCCGAAGGCAUCCACGCUGCCAUAUUCCUUCCAACUUCCUGCUGUCAGAAGCCUCGGAAAAGCACAAGAUGUACCUGAGUCUUCGUUUCUUCAACUAGUGGCAUCUUUUCCUCUUCCUCAAUGGCAGACACCCCUACCUUAUGGGGCUUUCGUGAAGGCAGGAUUGGACCAGAAGGCGUGCCAGGGCGAAGUGCCCAUCAUUCCAUGACGGGAUAGGAAUUGAGACACUUCGCUGAGGAAGAAAUACCUGAUUUCUGAAAACAGCCUAUAUCCCGAACAGUUUCCUGGAAAUGACACUGCUGGUUAAAUUUUAUAAAGCAUUCCAAGUGUUGAUCAGCAAGUUUUGAUGCUUCCAAGUGCCCAAAGAGGAAAUCCGGCAGCAGAGGUUCCUGGGGGGAUCCCAUCAGAUGCAGGAGCUCACCGGCUCCCCCAGUCAGGGACUUGAUGCUCUUGGCCUCGGCGCUCUUGACCCCAGACCAGCCUCUGUGAAGAGACAGAGCCCGUUUUGCGACCUGUCCUCACACACAGACAAUCGUGGUGCCUAUUGGACAUAGCGAGGCUGUAUUUUCUAGACUUGCUCUGUUUGCUGAAAACCCGAAGAAGCCAGGAAAUUGCUUCCUGUGCCUGAAGUGCACGAGCAAGGCUGGAAAACAGAGCCAAGACACAAACUGUGAAGCAACAGCUCAACCUCCGAGAGCGAGUGGGCUUCGCGCUAUUUCUGGCCAGAGCAGAUGUGGCCUCGGGGGGCUGUGGGGAACAGUAUCCCUCAGGUAAAAAUAAACUCGUACCAUUAGGACCCAAAGGAUGCCGAUUCCUCAUUCCCAAGCAGAUCGUGAACUGGGAGCCCUGUGGGAAGACGACUGGUUUGGGAAUCCGACAGGGUUCUGCCCUGGAUUUCUUCCAGAUUGCGCUACCAAUCGGCCAUCUGGUCUCGACAGCAGUGGUCUCCGGUGAUGCAGGAGUGGUCUCUGUUGAUGCAUGGUGCUGUGGGGACCAGCAGGGCAGCAUGUCAUCCAGUCUGGGGUGCAGGAAUGCUGCCUGGAGGAGCGGAUGCGCCCGAGCGGAGUCUCAGCGGUGGAGCAGAGGUCAUCCAGGUCUUCUGCCGUCAGUAACGAAUGAUUAAAAGGAUAUUUAGUAGGUCAUGCAAGGUGAAAGAGGACUGGCGAAAGGAGACGGUGCAAACCCAAGUGGAUGGAGAAGCUGGAGAGUGAGAAGACAUCUUCCAGGGGGAAACAAAGCUUUUCCUAACUUCCGUGGAUUUCUACAGAGCCUUGGCUUUUGGAAAUUCUACCAGAAUGACGGCUGCAUUUUUAGUGGUGAAAAUUACUGAUAAGUCUCAAAAGCAAUCAGAGAAUAUCCAUUUUCCAGAGGGUGGUCACAAAGCAUCACCCAGGCCAAGAAACGGAAAACGAGACUCUACCUCUCUUGGUUGGCAAGAGUGCGUGGAACUGGGAUACUGAGGGGGCCACUUUCGGAAAAGACAACCUGCUCCAAGAACUUCUCUCCUUUUCGAUGUCAUCAGCACCCCCAGCUGCAGAGAAAACAUGGAAGUUAGGCAGACGGUCUCCAUUGCCCAG